AUUUGUCCUUGUCUUUCUCAAUACCCACUCCCAUUCAUCUUCUAGAUACAAACUGCAAUAUGUUUGGGGCUUUCCUGAUAGCUCAGUUGGUAAAGAAUCUGCCUGCAAUGCCUGAGACCCUGGUUCGAUUCCUGGAUAAGGAAGAUCCCCUGGAGAAGAGAUUGGCUAUCCAUUCCAGUAUUCUUGGGCUUCCCCUGUGGCUCAGCUGACAGGAGUCUGGAAGUAACCAGCUGCUGAUGGUAUUGGGUCAGCAGCUCAACGAUAUCACAUUUGCCAGAGGACUGCCCAAGCUUCAGCCACCCCAUCCUUGUUCAAGGCAGGAAAAAUGAGGUGACGAAUAUGUGUGCCCUCUGUACUUGAAUUAAGAAAAUAUGAUUCUUCCUAGAAAUGCCCGUCUCCUCCAGCAGAUGCUUGCUGGCAAGACUGUGUCCCAUUACUACCCCUAUGUGCCUGUGAUUCAGGAAAAGGACAAUGGGAUGGGGAGUGCUUGCCGAGUUGGAUGAUUAACAGUCCAGAGUCGUUUGUCUAUUUAUCUAUUAGAAUGCUUGUCUGUUACUGAUUUGGCGUUUCUUUGUAUAGUAACAAUAUACAACCCCCCCUUUUUAUUGUAUAUGUCAUAUU
ensembl:lncRNA